CAUUUGUUUACAAAAACUGUGCAGUGUAAUUUCUAUAUUUUCUAUUAUUUCAACUCAAACAUAUCCUCUUUUUGCUUAUAGUUGAAAGGAAAUCGCAGGUGCCAUGGUAUAGAAAGAUUGCAAGCAUCUAAAGGAGGCAGGCAUUUCAGACAUGUUGAAAAGUGACAGGAUUUUCAAGUAGUGGCACAGGCACUGGAGAUUUUACUCAGACUUUUGCUUUGGAGAUUUUACUAUUAUUGUCUUGUAAGUGAAAAGUCAAAGUAACUGUAAUAGUUCAAAAUAGGACUAAAUUAAAAAGGGCUUGUAUAAGGAGUACAGUGUCCAGCCAUUUGGCAAGAAGUCUAGAGUUCAAUAUACAGUUAACCAGAACAUCUAUAGUAAAUUCACAUGGCUGGAAUUUUGUUGAGCCACCACUGGAUGCAGAAUGAAGAUGCCUGCAAAGUUUUCUUGCAAUCUAUGCAUAGUUGACCGUGCCAGUGCAAAAUAAAAAUUUAGCAUUUUAAAGUCUUUAAGUUACAGAUGAAUAUGGGCUAGAUGACUACAUAUUUAGUGAGGCAAAGAUACAUCUGAAAAUAGCAUCACAUGGGGAUAUUUUCAAGUUGUUAUAUGUAAGAUGUCAUCAGGAAACAGAUUAUAUAAAUUGAUCUGCUUUUUUCAAGAACAAGGCACCUUGAAAAAUUAGUAAGCAAAUUUAGGAAUGAAAUAAAAAAAAUUUGAAGCAAAUUUGACAGGAUUAAAAUGGAAGUAUUUCAGAAAGAAACUCUCAUAGAUUCUGUAAACUAUGACAAAAUUGUGUCAGCAUUAGUAGGAGAGAGUGAACAGCUUGAAAAGCAGUUAACUGGUAUACAUGAUCACUCUGAGCCAGAUGUAGCAGCUGGUGUGAGAGCUGAUGUGACAGCACAUGACUCCUCAAACUACGAGGGUGUAGAAUUAGGACACCUUAUGACUUACCCUGCCAAAAUAAAGAAAUGUAUAAAUAAGAAGAGCAAUCAUGAAGAACUGAGUGAGAAUGACCAGUCUCUACAAGAAGAUAUGACAUCUGAAGAUAAGGAUGCUAAUUUUAGUGCUUCAGAUAAUGUAUUAGCAUUAUUUCCCUUUGUUUGUGGAAUAUGUGAUGAAAAAUUUAACAUUUUGGUAACUUACUUUAUGCAUAUUUCAAUGCAUGAAAAUGCUAACACAUUGUUACAUUGCUGUGAUCAGACAGAUGUUGAUGAGGGUUUUUUCUUGUAUUCAUGUGGAAUUUGUGAUAUAAAGUACCCAACUUUGUGUACUCUUUACCAACAUCUGCUUGAAACAGAAGGUGUGACUGACUUUGUUUAUAGGGGAAGAGUAAGAACAGCACAUGCUUAUACUGAAACUAGUGAAUAUUUUGAAAUUCCACAAAACAGUGCAGAGUGUUAUAAGGUAAAAGGAAGGGUAACAAAUACUCUUAAUAAAGGUAUCAAUUCAAACAUUCCAACGAAUGAUAUAAAGUUUGAUAUAAAAGGUUCAUUGGAUGAUGAUAAAGAUAAUUUAUGUGGUAACUCAGGAGACGACGAUGAUAAUUUACGUGGUAACUCAGGAGAUGACUCGGAUACCACAAUAAUCAAUGAGAGUGUUGUUGGAGAAGAGAUUGAAGUUGGGAGAAAAUAUGUAAAAGACCUGAAGGUCAUUGAAAGAAAACGACUGAAGAGAAAGAAAAGAGGUAAAAGAAAAGUAAAUGCUAAAAAUGCAAAUAAAACAUUGUUAAAUGAACAUAAGAAGACUAAAAGGACAGAUGUCCUUAGAAAGAGUGUCCUUGCAGGCACAGAUAGGAACACAUCAUUAAUAAUAGAAGGAGCAGACAUGCCUGCUGUUGCAUCUAAUGAUUAUGAUGAUGAUGAUGAUUAUGAUGAUGAAAAGUUAGUUGAUGGUAUAAAUGAUGAUGGAAUUAACCGUCAUGAAGACACUGUGGUAGUAAAACGCACAAAGAAGAAGCGAGUGACAGUAAACCGUAAAGAUCAGCUGUUUCCAUGUGAGAUAUGUGGAGCAGUUGUUAAACACCAGUACCUGCAGAGACACAGAAGUACUCAUGAAGAACGUACACUAGCAUGUGACCAGUGUGACAAUGUGUAUAACUGUAAGUUCAAGCUAAGAACUCACAAGAAACAAGUCCACACUGAUGAAAAGAAGUUUACUUGUGAUGAAUGUGGUAAAAGUUUCAAAGCGUGGCCCUACCUCAAGCAACACCGAAUGUCAAAAGUCAAGUUCAUAUUUACCUAAAAGCUGAAAAUGGUUCCUGCUAAAUAACUAAAGAAUGCUUUGGCUUCCAGUUGUAAAACUUCAUAGGAUGAUUGCCUGUUACAAAUCCAUAUCAAAGAGAGAAAUAUUCUGUGUCCUGUUUGCCCUAUGAAAUUCAAAUAUGCGGCAGUGUUAAAGGUGCAUUUGAAAACACAUUCAGAUCAGAAGCCACACAACUGUGAGCAGUGUGGAAAGAAAUUCAAACGAGCUGAUUUGUUAACAACACACAAAAAAUAUCACAUGGAGGAGAAACCAUUUCCUUGUCCUGAAUGCUC
rnacentral:misc_RNA from 1 species